rnacentral:lncRNA from 1 species
UUGUCGACGUUGACUGGUCAUCGUUUCCGCCUGAAAGCUUACGGUGGCUGGCUUUGUGACCACCCAAAGCCUGGUAAGAGUUAAAGGACUUGUUGCAAACGCUGCACUUGUAGCUAACAUUUUGCACUGUUGAGGUCGGUGCUGGUGCUGGUGCUGGUGCUGGUGCUGGUGCAGGCGGUGGUGAGGCGGUUGGAGUAGGAGAACGAUGGCGGUGUGGGAUAACAGAAGUGUUGGUGGAGUUGGCAUCACCGCCGCGUGCUAGCAUGAUAAGGCAGAGAGCGAGGUAUUCUUCCUCGGUGGUCACAUGAUCGAAACGCGGUCGCU